AAUUUAUGAUGUGGGCAUUUUCAAAGCAAGUCCCUAAAGCGCUCCUAAGUCUCGAAAAAGAGUUCCUCAUCCAUAUGUGAGAAACUUGUGAUGGCUCUCCAAUGCU